rnacentral:rRNA from 1 species
AACGAACGCUGGCGGCGUGCCUAACACAUGCAAGUCGAACGCGAAAGGGAGCAAUCCCCGGUAGCGUGGCAGACGGGUGAGUAACACGUGGGUAACCUACCCGGAGGUGGGGGAUAACCCUUCGAAAGGAGGGCUAAUACCGCAUGACACCGUGGGGACCUCGGUCCUUGCGAUCAAAGCUGGCCUCUGUUUACAAGCUAGCGCCACCGGAUGGGCCCGCGCCCCAUUAGCUAGUUGGUGAGGUAACGGCNCACCAAGGCGACGAUGGGUAGCCGGCCUGAGAGGGCGAUCGGCCACACUGGAACUGCGACACGGUCCAGACUCCUACGGGAGGCAGCAGUGGGGAAUCUUGCGCAAUGGGCGAAAGCCUGACGCAGCGACGCCGCGUGAGGGAUGACGGCCUCGG